GACAGAGGUGGCAAGCGUUGUUCGGAUUCAUUGGGUGUAAAGGGUCCGUAGGUGGUCUAGCAAGUCUGAUGUGAAAUCCCAUGGCUCAACCGUGGAACUGCAUUGGAAACUGCUGGACUUGAGUACCGCAGAGGUAAAGGGAAUUCCCGGUGUAAGGGUGAAAUCUGUAGAUAUCGGGAGGAACACCAGUGGCGAAGGCGCUUUACUGGGCGGUUACUGACACUGAGGGACGAAAGCAAGGGGAGCAAACAGG
rnacentral:rRNA from 1 species